GGGGUGGCCUUAUUUUCUCAUAGGUACUCUUAGGGAUUCUAAUGGUAUGUUUAGGUGUUUCUCCUAGUUCUAGUUGCAUCUAAGAAUUCUUAUGUUUUAGCAUGGAAAUUGUUUUAUGUUUUUGGACAUUUAAUCAUCAAGGUGUUCAGACAUAGGUAGAUAUUAACACACUGUUUUUUGGUUACAAUUGUGACUUGUUCAUGGCAGAUUUUCCUAGAUUUCUUUUUUUAUUCAUUUUUCUUUCAAUAGUUUCGUUUACAAUUGUUGGCAUCUGCCUUUUUUUUAAUCCAUUAUCAUCUGGCAAUGGCCAUUUGAACAACAGUACCUUCACAAUAGGAAAGGCAUUAAAUAGCUUUUUGCUUGCUUCUAAUUUUUAUAAUGGAAGGUGCCUCUCCCAGUUUAGGGAGAGUACUCUAUUUCUACCGAUACAGGGGUACUCUAU
rnacentral:misc_RNA from 1 species